AGAAAAGUGAGUGCCGCCCCGCACAGGGGCGACGCUAAUAGACCACCAUGACAUCAAGGAAAGGCCAACGCCCAAAGAGAACAAUCUGAAAGCGCCGC
rnacentral:sRNA from 1 species